CGCCGUGAUGAGAACCUUGAAUAGGAAGUGCCGUCCGAUGCGAUAACUGACGAUUUCAUUCAAAUUUUCUGAGC